AUACUGUAUGUAACUGAUCCUAUGCUAUGAUAAACUGUAGCACACAGAGCAUUAAUAGAGAAUCAAUGUUGGAAUACUGAGGCCCUCUAGCUGUUGUUAAACUACAAGUGCCAACACCCUCAGCCAGAUUUGAAUCCUGGGAGUGGUAAAAUGACACAGGAAGGUAAGCAGCUGACAAUUAUGAUUAUGUCUAUAGCUGUCUCUAUGUAAC